rnacentral:rRNA from 1 species
GGGGGGGGGGGGCCGGUUUGAACCCAAUGGGCCCAGGUUGAAAGUUUGGGGACCCGUUGCAAACCUUUAGGAACGGGGGAAAUUGGAAAAGGGAAUCCCAACUUCAAAGUUAAACCAAGGGAAAAGGGGGGAAAAAAGGGGGGAAAAAGGGCGGGGGGUUUUUUUUUGGUUUUAUUUUUUUUUUGGGGGGGGGCCGCGGGGGGGGGGGGUUUUUUUUAUGUUAUUCUAUGUUAUUUCCUUCCCCCCCGGGGCGGGGCGGGAACCGUCCGGUUCUUAUACUGGAUGGGGCGGGGGCGGGGAGUUUCUCUCUUUGGAGGGGGGGGCGAGGGUGUAGACGCGGGUGUACCCCUCCUUUAAAGGGUGGAAUACUCGCGGAAACCGGGGUAUAAUACCGGGAUUUGUUGAUCACCCCCAGGUUUACAUCAAAAAAGGGGGGUUUUUAGCUCCCCAUUUCCAGGAUGGCCCGCGGGGGCUAUUAGCUAGUUGGUGAGGUAACGGCUUCCCCAAGGGGAACGGUGCGUACGCGCCCUGGAGAGGGUAAUCGGCCACACUGGGGACUGAGACACGGCCCCAGAUUCCUACGGGGGGCAGCAGUAGGGAAUCUUCCGCAAUGGACGAAAGUCUGACGGAGCAACGCCGCGUGAGUGAUGAAGGUUUUCGGAUCGUAAAACUCUGUUGUUAGGGAAGAACAAGUACCGUUCGAAUAGGGCGGCACCUUGACGGUACCUAACCAGAAAGCCACGGCUAACUACGUGCCAGCAGCCGCGGUAAUACGUAGGUGGCAAGCGUUGUCCGGAAUUAUUGGGCGUAAAGCGCGCGCAGGCGGUUUCUUAAGUCUGAUGUGAAAGCCCCCGGCUCAACCGGGGAGGGUCAUUGGAAACUGGGGAACUUGAGUGCAGAAGAGGAGAGUGGAAUUCCACGUGUAGCGGUGAAAUGCGUAGAGAUGUGGAGGAACACCAGUGGCGAAGGCGACUCUCUGGUCUGUAACUGACGCUGAGGCGCGAAAGCGUGGGGAGCGAACAGGAUUAGAUACCCUGGUAGUCCACGCCGUAAACGAUGAGUGCUAAGUGUUAGAGGGUUUCCGCCCUUUAGUGCUGCAGCAAACGCAUUAAGCACUCCGCCUGGGGAGUACGGUCGCAAGACUGAAACUCAAAGGAAUUGACGGGGGCCCGCACAAGCGGUGGAGCAUGUGGUUUAAUUCGAAGCAACGCGAAGAACCUUACCAGGUCUUGACAUCCUCUGACAACCCUAGAGAUAGGGCUUCCCCUUCGGGGGCAGAGUGACAGGUGGUGCAUGGUUGUCGUCAGCUCGUGUCGUGAGAUGUUGGGUUAAGUCCCGCAACGAGCGCAACCCUUGAUCUUAGUUGCCAGCAUUCAGUUGGGCACUCUAAGGUGACUGCCGGUGACAAACCGGAGGAAGGUGGGGAUGACGUCAAAUCAUCAUGCCCCUUAUGACCUGGGCUACACACGUGCUACAAUGGGCAGAACAAAGGGCAGCGAAGCCGCGAGGCUAAGCCAAUCCCACAAAUCUGUUCUCAGUUCGGAUCGCAGUCUGCAACUCGACUGCGUGAAGCUGGAAUCGCUAGUAAUCGCGGAUCAGCAUGCCGCGGUGAAUACGUUCCCGGGCCUUGUACACACCGCCCGUCACACCACGAGAGUUUGUAACACCCGAAGUCGGUGAGGUAACCUUUUGGAGCCAGCCGCCGAAGGUGGACAGAUGAUUGGGGUGAAGUCGUAUCAACGAGCCUGGG